rnacentral:lncRNA from 1 species
GCAUUGUUUUUGCAGUGUUUUCUUUUCCCUCUCCAGUUCAGUUGUUUUGUUGUUCAUUUUGUUAUAACGUUCUUGCAGUUUUUGGUUUUUCCUCUCAAAGUCCUGGAGAGUUUGUUUUUCUUCUUUCUGCUUUAUUUCCCGUUGUUCUUUGUCUUGAAGCAGCUCUUGAUAUUUCUGCAGUUUUUGGUUUUUCCUCUCAAAGUCCUGGAGAGUUUGUUUUUCUUCUUUCUGCUUUAUUUCCCGUUGUUCUUUGUCUUGAAGCAGCUCUUGAUAUUUCUGCAGUGUUUCAUCAAGCUUUACCUGCUGCGCUCCGUAUUUUUCCUGCAUGCCUUGGAGUUGGCACUGCAUGUCUCUCUGCUUUAUGUCCAGCUUUUCUUUCUCUUCAAGGAUUUCUUUAUUUUUUUGCAGAGCUUCAUCAAGCAUUACUUGCAAACCUUUGUUGUGUUUCUUGAUGUUCUGAAGCUCGCAAUCCAGAUCUUUCUCUUUCAUGUCUUGCUGUUCUUUCUCUUGUUUGAAAUCCUUAUUUCUUUGCACUGUUUUAUCGAGCUUUAUUUUCAGCGCUGUGUAUUUUUCCUCCACGUCUUCAAGCUUGCAGUCCAUUUCUUUCUGUUUAAUUUCUUGUUGCUUUUUUUCUUGAAGCAACUCUUUAUUCUUGUUCAGUGUUUUAUCAUGCCUUGCCUGAAGCGCUUUGUACUUUUCCUCCAUGCCUUGGAGUUUGCGCUGCUUUACGUCCAUUUGCUCUUUUCUUGGAGGAGUUCUUUAUUUUUUUGCAGAGCUUCAUCGAGCUUUAUUUGCAAGCCUUUGUUGUGUUUCUCCAUGUCCUGAAGCUUGCAAUCCGUAUCUUCCUGUUUCAUGGUCUGUUGCCCUUUCUUUUGAAGAAACUCAACCCUUCCUUUCAGCACUUUGUGAUUUAUCUCUGUGCCUUGGAGUUUUAUGACCAGUUGUUUCUUCUCUUGGAGGAUUUCUUUAUUUUUUUGCAAAGCUUCAUCAAGCUUUACUUGCAACUCCUGAAUCUUUUUGUCCUUGUCCUGCUCGUUUUUCUUCUGUUGGAGGACUUCUUCUGUUGGUUUUUCUUGAGCUUUAUUAAGCUUUGCUUGGAGCUCAAAGAUCCUUCCGCGCAUGUCUAGGACUUCCAUUUCUUUCUCCUUUUGAAUAUCUUCCUUUUCAACAAGCUGGCUGAACAAUCUAUGUACUUCAGCAGUCCUUCUCUCAUAUUCUUCUCUCAGGCACAUAAUCUCCGCUCGUUGUUCAAAAAAACUUUGCCAGACGUAAUAGAUGUACUCUGGCUGGGGCGGGUGUCGCGUAUUGUGAUUCUCCCUGAGAUUUUUCUCAUCCAUUUCUUCCAAGCACAUCUUCUGUACUUGAAUAUUGUCCUCUUGAUCGCAAAGAGGAGCGCUGGGCUUUACUAUUUCUCUUUUGUUGUGUUUUUUCGGAGACAUGUUAGAAUCUGUAAACAGUGAACAGUGACUCUGAAAAGGAUCCAAAAAAGGCUUCUCUGGUGAGCGUUUGAAUGCUGCAAACGUAAAUGCUGCGAAUAACAGACUAAAAGUUGUUGUGUCUCACUCCUAUUUAAGGGUUUUUAGGAUCAAAGGAUCAAAGGAUCAAAGUGGUGGUAAGAUUCUAAAUGUGGGUGAUGUCAAAACUCUGUAAGCCAAUGAGGUUGUCACAUGACAUUUGUGGGAGGGCAUUUUUACCUGGACAAAUUAUCAAUAAAGUUUCAAUCUCUGUAACAAUGAUGACAGUAUAAUUGUUAUUGUUCAGCAGAACAACAAACAAUUAUAUUGACAGUUAUAUGUGUCCAGUAUGUUGGCUGAUUUUCUUUUACUUUUUGCAUAUGAAAAUAAAAGUUGUCCUGAUUUUAACACCAUUACAAGAAGUGUUGUUAAUUAUUCAUUUUGAAUCAUAAUCAGGUUACCACAAAUUGUUAUUCUUAGUACUGCAUACUUGCAGUGAAGAAGUUGUCCUAACAGUCAUCUUAAGUAAACUGCAUUCAAUUUUUCUGGAGGCAAUGAGUUUGCAUAGUUUUUUUGAGUUCUGGGAACUACUUAGAUUUUACAGUGCAGUAGUUUGAACAUUUGUAAUAACAUUUCUGCAAACUGGAACAAACUUCUCCUUUUCUAGAACUGUUGCUAACACUUAUGACAUGAAAAUGAAUCGAGAUGGAGUGAUAAAUGUUAUUUUUCUUGUUUUGUUUAUAUCUAAAGUUUAAAACAAAAAUAGAAACUGUUACCUGGACUGCCUCAGCCCAGGUGAUGUAAUAUUAGCAGACAGAGGGUUUGAUGUUGCAGAAUCUUUGGAGCUGUACCAUGCUGAACUGAAGAGCCCAGCUUUCACCAAAGGGAAGAACUAACUGGCCCCUAGAUUGCCCAAUCAAAUCUCUUAAUGCCAUCAGCCCUCCCCUUCCUUCACUGUGCGCUCACCUUGUAGAAAAGAGUUGAGUGUGGAAGAAAUGGCAAAAAUGUGGAGCUGAAAAGCUAAGAGAGAAAAAGAAAUUAUAAAUAAAU